CUAAAGGCUUUUCUUAAGGCCACUUAUUGGCCCAUAAAUGAAGAUU
rfam:Rhodnius prolixus Rhodnius_prolixus-3.0.3-24.65, whole genome shotgun sequence.